AUUGAACGCUGGCGGCAGGCCUAACACAUGCAAGUCGAGCGAGCGGCGGACGGGUGAGUAAUGUAUGGGGACUGCCCGAUAGAGGGGGAUAACUACUGGAAACGGUGGCUAAUACAGCAUACUAUCGGAUAACCAAUAUGGGAGUAGCUAGUAGGUGGGGUAAAGGCUCACCUCGGCGACGAGCUCUAGCUGGUCUGAGCGGAUUAUCAGCACCGCUGGGACUGAGACAUGGCCCGGACGCCUACGGAGGCAGCAGUGGGGAAUAUUGCACAAUGGGCGAAAGCCUGAUGCAGCCAUGCCGCGUGUAUGAAGAAGGCCUUAGGGUUGUAAAGUACUUUCAGCGGGGAGGCGUUACCCGCAGAAGAAGCACCGGCUAACUCCGGGCCAGCAGCCGCGGUAAUAC
rnacentral:rRNA from 1 species